CGAGCUGCACUUCCGGGGUCCGCAGGCGACUGAGACGUCAUUGCGCAUGCGACGACGGCUGCGACAAUCCGGAAAUGGGCGGAGCGUGGUCGCUAGGUUGGUUCCUGUGGAACUAAGUGGGCUGGGAAAGGCUUGUGGGAGAUAUUAAACCACCCCUGGAGCCCAGGAAUAAAUCCCACUUGGUCGUGGAAUAUGAAUGUUUUCUAAUGGGAGGCAUUUAAAUGCCUUAGUUGAAGAUUGAUUCAAAGAAAAGCUCUCUUUUGGAUUCAUCUCAACAUCUAUCAGAGAGAGACACAGCGAGAGAGGGAACACAAGCAGGAGGAGUGGAAGCGGGAGAAGCAGGCUUCCCGCCGAGCAGGGAGCCCGAUGGGGGGCUCGAUCCCAGGACCCUGGGAUCAUGACCUGAGCCGAAGGCAGAUGCUUAACGACUGAGCCACCCAGGCGCCCCUGUCUUUUGGUUUUGUUGACUGUUUCCUUUGCUUUGCAAAAGCUUUUUAUCUUGAUGAAGUCCCAAUAGUUCAUUUUUGCCCUUGCUUCCCUUGCCUUUGGCGAUAUUUCUAGGAAGAAGUUGCUUCGGCUGAGGUCAAAGAGGUUGCUGCCUGUGUUCUCCUUUAGGAUUUUGAUGGACUCCUGUCUCAUGAAAAAGUGCUCAAUAUUGCUCGGCAUCAGGGAAAUCCAAAUCAAAACCUCAAUGAGAUACCACCUCACACCAGUCAGAAUGGCUAAAAUUAACAAGUCAGGAAACGACAGAUGUUGGCGGGGAUGUGGAGAAAGGGGAACCCUCCUACACUGUUGGUGGGAAUGCAAGCUGGUGCAGCCACUCUGGAAAACUGUAUGGAGGUUCCUCAAAAAGUUGAAAAUAGAGCUACCAUAUGACCCAGCAAUUGCACUACUGGGUAUUUACCCCAAAGAUACAAAAGUAGGGAUCCGAAAGGGUAUGUGUACCCCGAUGUUUAUAGCAGCAAUGUCCACAAUAGCCAAACUGUGGAAAGAGCCAAGAUGUCCAUCGACAGAUGAAUGGAUAAAGAAGAUGUGGUAUAGAUACACAAUGGAAUAUUAUGCAGCCAUCAAAAGGAAUGAGAUCUUGCCAUUUGCAAUGACGUGGGUGGAA